UACGUAGGUGGCAAGCGUUGUUCGGAAUUACUGGGCGUAAAGCGCGCGUAGGCGGCUCUUCAAGUCAGACGUGAAAGCCCCGGGCUUAACUCGGGAACUGCGUUUGAUACUGUCGAGCUAGAGUGUGGAAGGGGCGAUUGGAAUUCCGUGUGUAGCGGUGAAAUGCGUAGAUAUACGGAGGAACACCAGAGGCGAAGGCGGAUCGCUGGGCCAACACUGACGCUGAUGAGCGAAAGCGUGGGGAGCGAACAGG
rnacentral:rRNA from 1 species